GCUGAAGGAACAAAGGCUAAAACCGUCAUAUCGGAUGAUAAUACCUUUGUGAUCAAUAUCCUGUUGG
rnacentral:sRNA from 1 species